CCCGGAGGGUGCAAUCGUUAUUCGGAAUCACUGGGCGUAAAGAGCGCGUAGGCGGUCUCUUAAGUCAGAUGUGAAAGCCCGGGGCUCAACCCCGGAAGUGCAUUUGAAACUAAGUGACUUGAGUAUGGGAGAGGGAAGUGGAAUUCCUGGUGUAGCGGUGAAAUGCGUAGAUAUCAGGAGGAACACCGGUGGCGAUGGCGACUUCCUGGACCAAUACUGACGCUGAGGCGCGAAGGCGUGGGGAGCAAACAGG
rnacentral:rRNA from 1 species